CCUACGGGUGGCAGCAGUGAGGAAUAUUGGUCAAUGGACGAGAGUCUGAACCAGCCAAGUCGCGUGAAGGAUGAAGGCCCUAUGGGUUGUAAACUUCUUUUAUAUGGGAAUAAAAUGCUCCACGUGUCGGGUUUUGUAUGUACCUUAUGAAUAAGGAUCGGCUAACUCCGUGCCAGCAGCCGCGGUAAUACGGAGGAUCCGAGCGUUAUCCGGAUUUAUUGGGUUUAAAGGGAGCGUAGGUGGAUUGUUAAGUCAGUUGUGAAAGUUUGCGGCGCAACCGUAGAAUUGCAGUUGAAACUGGCAGUCUUGAGUACAGUAGAGGUGGGCGGAAUUCGUGGUGUAGCGGUGAAAUGCUUAGAUAUCACGAAGAACUCCGAUUGCGAAGGCAGCUCACUGGACUGUAACUGACGCUGAGGCUCGAAAGUGUGGGGAUCAAACAGGAUUAGAUACCCUUGUAGUC
rnacentral:rRNA from 1 species